GUCAGGAUGGCCGAGUGGUUUAAGGCGCCAGACUCAAGUUCUGGUCUCCAUAUGGAGGCGUGGGUUCAAAUCCAACUUCUGACA
rnacentral:tRNA from 1 species